rnacentral:rRNA from 1 species
AUUGAACGCUGGCGGCAGGCUUAACACAUGCAAGUCGAACGAGUGGCGGACGGGUGAGUAAUGCUUGGGAAUCUGGCUUAUGGAGGGGGAUAACGACGGGAAACUGUCGCUAAUACCGCGUACCAUAGGAUGAGCCCAAGUGGGAUUAGGUAGUUGGGGGGGUAAAGGCCUACCAAGCCGACGAUCUCUAGCUGGUCUGAGAGGAUGACCAGCCACACUGGGACUGAGACACGGCCCAGACUCCGACGGGAGGCAGCAGGGGGGAAUAUGGCGCAAUGGGGGCAACCUGACGCAGCCAUGCCGCGUGAAUGAAGAAGGCCUUCGGGUUGUAAAGUUCUUUCGGUGAGGAGGCGUUACCCACAGAAGAAGCACCGGCUAACUCCGUGCCAGCAGCCGCGGUAAUUC